rnacentral:rRNA from 1 species
AUUGAACGCUGGCGGCAGGCCUAACACAUGCAAGUCGAACGAGUGGCGGACGGGUGAGUAAUAUCUGGGAAACUGCCUGAUGGAGGGGGAUAACUACUGGAAACGGUAGCUAAUACCGCAUACCAUCGGAUGUGCCCAGAUGGGAUUAGCUAGUAGGUGGGGUAAUGGCUUACCUAGGCGACGAUCCCUAGCUGGUCUGAGAGGAUGACCAGCCAGCCUGUAACUGAGACACGGUCCAGACUCCUACGAGAGGCAGCAGUGGGGAAUAUUGCACAAUGGUGGCAAGCCUGAUGCAGCCAUGCCGCGGGUAUGAAGAAGGCCUUCGGGUUGUAAAGUACUUUCAGCGGGGAGGCGUUACCCGCAGAAGAAGCACCGGCUAACUCCGUGCCAGCAGCCGCGGUAAUAC